UGGGGAAUAUUGCACAAUGGAGGGAACUCUGAUGCAGCGACGCCGCGUGAACGAAGAAGGCUUUCGAGUCGUAAAGUUCUUUUAUAUGGGAAGAUAAUGACGGUACCAUAAGAAAAAGCCCCGGCUAACUACGUGCCAGCAGCCGCGGUAAUACGAAGGGGGCUAGCGUUGGCCGGAAUCACUGGGCGUAAAGGGUUCGUAGGCGGAAAUGCAAGUCAGGUGUAAAAGGCAGUAGCUUAACUACUGUAAGCAUUUGAAACUGCAUAUAUUGAGAAGAGUAGAGGUAAGUAGAAUUUUUAGUGUAGCGGUGAAAUGCAUAGAUAUUAAAAAGAAUACCGGUGGCGAAGGCGACUUACUGGGCUCAUUCUGACGCUGAGGAACGAAAGCGUGGGUAGCAAACAGG
rnacentral:rRNA from 1 species